GGAGCAGUCAAAUCCAAUAUUCUUGAAAAUGAAAAAUCUGACUUCGAAAAAGUCAUUAGUACUAACCUCGUAGGUACAUUUCUUGGAAUUAAACAAGCAGCACGAGUCAUGAUCCCUCGUGGUCAAGGUAGCAUAAUUACAACUGGUAGUGUUUGUGCAUCAAUAGGUGGUGUUUGUCCUCAUUCCUAUACCAGUUCAAAACAUGGAUUGUUAGGACUUACUCGGAAUGCUGCAAUUGAUUUAGGACGGUAUGGCAUUCGUGUGAAUUGUGUGUCACCUUACGUUAUUCGUACGACAUCAGCUUUAGAUACCUUAAAAAAGAUGGGGAAGGAAGAUUCAGAUGUUUAUUCUACCUUAAACGGUCCUACACUUACUCCUUAUGAUGUCGCCGAAGCAGCUGUUUUCCUAGCAAGUGAUGAGUCCAAGUAUGUAAAUG
rnacentral:misc_RNA from 1 species